ACGAACGCUGGCGGCGUGCUUAACACAUGCAAGUCGCACGGAAAGGCCCUGCUUUUGUGGGGUGCUCGAGUGGCGAACGGGUGAGUAACACGUGAGUAACCUGCCCUUGACUUUGGGAUAACUUCAGGAAACUGGGGCUAAUACCGGAUAGGAGCUCCUGCUGCAUGGUGGGGGUUGGAAAGUUUCGGCGGUUGGGGAUGGACUCGCGGCUUAUCAGCUUGUUGGUGGGGUAGUGGCUUACCAAGGCUUUGACGGGUAGCCGGCCUGAGAGGGUGACCGGCCACAUUGGGACUGAGAUACGGCCCAGACUCCUACGGGAGGCAGCAGUGGGGAAUAUUGCACAAUGGGCGGAAGCCUGAUGCAGCAACGCCGCGUGCGGGAUGACGGCCUUCGGGUUGUAAACCGCUUUCGCCUGUGACGAAGCAUGAGUGACGGUAAUGGGUAAAGAAGCACCGGCUAACUACGUG
rnacentral:rRNA from 1 species